GAAAUGCGAUAAGUAAUGUGAAUUGCAGAAUUCAGUGAAUCAUCGAAUCUUUGAACGCACCUUGCGCUCCUUGGUUUCCUUGGAGCAUGCCUGUUUGAGUAUCAUGAAAUCUUCAAAGUAAAUCUUUUGUUAACUCAAUUGGUUUCUACUUUGGUAUUGGAGGUCUUUGCAGCUUCACACCUGCUCCUCUUUGUUCAUUAGCUGGAUCUCAGUGUUAUGCUUGGUUCCACUCGGCGUGAUAAGUUAUCUAUCGCUGAGGACACUGUAAAAGGUGGCCAAGGUAAAUGCAGAUGAACCGCUUCUAAUAGUCCAUUGACUUGGACAAUACUUUUAUGAUCUGAUCUCAAAUCAGGUAGGACUACCCGCUGAACUUAAGC
rnacentral:misc_RNA from 1 species